GCAUACUGGAGCGGGUUGCCAUUUUCUUCUCCGAGGGAACUUCCUGACCCAGGACUUGAACCCAGGUCUCCUGCAUUGUGGGCAGAUACUUUACCGACUGAGCUACGCAGGAAGCCUUGAUGAUCUUACUACUGGAAUAAGGUCCUGGAGCUAGCAGAGGAGGGAUAGGCACAGCAACCCAGGCUCCAGAGCCCACAUGUUACCUGCCUCGCUCAUGGCACAUCCUUCCACGUGAAAAGGAAAGCCAAGUUCACUCUUUGGGUGAGCAUCCCUUCUUGUGCCUCCACCAAUGUGAUCUCCUCUUCAAACUGACCAGCAAGGAAGAUUCUGCCCUCUCCAGGGAGCUUCUUGGCCUUGUUUAUCAGAGCAGGGUGAUGGGAGAGUGAAGAACCGAAAGAAAAAAAAAAAAGAAUACAAAAUGUAUGCAGAGCAAGAGAAGAAGAAAAAUGAUGAUGUCAAGGAGGGCAAGAAGAAAGGGCGAGGGAACUUAUGAUGCCAUCUGGUGUGGAGGAGGGCUUUGGGGACUUGUGGGGGUACAUGGGGAGAACUGGUGGACUGUGUUGCAAUAUAGGAGAGAGCAGCAAGGGAAAUGAUGGGGCAGGAAGUUAGGGGGAAAGGCUUUUAAGGAAUUUGUUGUGUGAGAUGGUUAGUUAGCAUCACUGUCUCAAUGAACCUCUAAGAGAUAGUGAAGGGAAGCCUGGUGUGCUGCAGUCCAUGGGGUUGCAAAGAGUCGGACACAACAACAGCAAUGAAUCUAAACCUUCUUCCAUCUUUCCUCAACAUACUGGAAUUAAAGAUUUGUUUUAAUCUUUUAGUCUGAACAAUUUUUGGAUACCAGUUAAAUUUGAUUUUACUAAGACUUCUCGGCAUAUCUGGGUAAGACAGGCUACAAGUGGGCUCCCCUUUUUGGAGGUUACACACCCCAGGAGGUUAAAAUUCCCAGGUUGUGAACAUGGGUGUUAUCUUUUUCUUGGUCCAACUUCAGCCCCAUCAGUAAAAUAUGUGGACCUGCCAGUUGUUUUUCCUUGGAUAUAUAAGGGGUAGUAGCUCUGUUUAUUCACUUUUUGUUCAUAAUGAUAUUUGCAGAGAGCCAACUCUAUGCAAACCAGUAGUGAGCAAGGUAUGGUCCCUGCCCUUGAAAGCUGGCUCCCCAGGGAAGGAAGCAGAAAAGAAACCACUAAAAGCCUGUAAACAACAUCAGUACAGAUUGUGAAAAGAUCAAUAAAGGAAAUAAAAUUGGAGCUACUUCCUGCAAAGGCAACAUGACAGGAAAAUAAGAAUCUAGUUGUCUAUAGAGCUCUGAAAAAAAAGUAUGUUAUGAAUUUUCAGGGAAAUGCCUCAGACAUAUAUUUCUAAUAAGAUUUUCUCACAUCUCUCUUUUUUAA